rnacentral:rRNA from 1 species
GACGAACGCUGGCGGCGUGCCUAAUACAUGCAAGUUGAGCGCUGAAGGUUGGUACUUGUACCAACUGGAUGAGCAGCGAACGGGUGAGUAACGCGUGGGGAAUCCGCCUUUGAGCGGGGGACAACAUUUGGAAACGAAUGCUAAUACCGCAUAAAAACUUUAAACACAAGUUUUAAGUUUGAAAGAUGCAAUUGCAUCACUCAAAGAUGAUCCCGCGUUGUAUUAGCUAGUUGGUGAGGUAAAGGCUCACCAAGGCGAUGAUACAUAGCCGACCUGAGAGGGUGAUCGGCCACAUUGGGACUGAGACACGGCCCAAACUCCUACGGGAGGCAGCAGUAGGGAAUCUUCGGCAAUAGACGAAAGUCUGACCGAGCAACGCCGCGUGAGUGAAGAAGGUUUUCGGAUCGUAAAACUCUGUUGGUAGAGAAGAACGUUGGUGAGAGUGGAAAGCUCAUCAAGUGACGGUAACUACCCAGAAAGGGACGGCUAACUACGUG